rnacentral:rRNA from 1 species
CCUACGGGAGGCUGCAGUGAGGGAUAUUGGUCAAUGGGGGAAACCCUGAACCAGCAACGCCGCGUGAGGGAAGACGGUUUUCGGAUUGUAAACCUCUGUCUUCUGUGAAGAUGAUCACGGUAGCCGAGGAGUAAGCUCCGGCUAACUACGUGCAAGCAGCCGCGGUAAUACGGAGGGAGCGAGCGUUGUCCGGAUUUACGUGGUGUAAAGGGGGCGUAGGCGGGUUGGCAAGUCAGUAGUGAAAUCCAUGGGCUUAACCCAUGAACUGCCAUUGAAACUGGCGAGCUUGAGUGAAGUAGAGGUAGGCGGAAUUCGUGGUGUAGCGGUGAAAUGCGUAGAGAUCGCGAAGAACACCAAUGGCGAAGGCAGCCUACUGGGCUUUAACUGACGCUGAGGCACGAAAGCGUGGGUAGCAAACAGGAUUAGAUACCCUAGUAGUC